UAACCUGCCUGGUAGCGGGGGAUAACUAUUGAAACGAUAGCUAAUACCGCAUAACAACAGUUGUUGCAUGACAGCUGUUUAAAAGAUGCAAUUGCAUCACUACCAGAUGGACCUGCGUUGUAUUAGCUAGUUGGUGAGGUAACGGCUCACCAAGGCAACGAUACAUAGCCGACCUGAGAGGGUGAUCGGCCACACUGGGACUGAGACACGGCCCAG
rnacentral:rRNA from 1 species